rnacentral:rRNA from 1 species
UACGUAGGGUCCAAGCGUUAUCCGGAAUCACUGGGCGUAAAGCGUUCGUAGGCGGGUGCUUAAGUGAGAUGUGAAAGCGUGUGGCUCAACCAUACAGCCUGCGUCUCAUACUGGGCGCCUGGAGGAAGGCAGAGGCAAGUGGAAUUGGCAGUGUAGCAGUGAAAUGCGUAGAGAUGCGGAGGAACACCGAUGGCGAAGGCAGCCCCCUGGGCUAGCACUGACGCUCAGGCACGAAAGCGUGGGGAGCAAACAGG